UGAUCCUUGGCUCUCAGACAAGCAGCAACAAGGAGUCUUCAGCCGUUUAAAGCCUGAAGUAAAGCAGCAUUGGAGGAACACCCCCACCGUGGAGACAGCCUCCUGGGCCUGAAUGGGUUUGGACACCCACGGACAUUUGCAGAGUCGGCCAGGCUGAGUCGUCUGUUUUCUGAGAAUUUAAACCAACAUCAGAAUUUAAAAGCCAACUGCACUGGAGACGACUGAGAGGAAAGCUGAUCUGAAGUCACCCACUGCAUCCGGCACAGGCCCUGACAAGAAGCAGCUACACCAGGGAAGCUGAGCAGAGGUUCCCACUACCACAUGCUGCAGUCCCCACAGUGCUGAGUUUCCUACAGCCUAGAACCCAGAGCUGCCUCCUAACAGCCAUGUGUGGAGCUACUAGCUGCAUAGCCGCCUGUAGCUGCUCAGACAACCAGCCUUCACUCUGCUUCAGCUGCUUCCACCUGAAUACCCCAAAGAGAACCAACCAGACACGGAGGCACUGACUGGUUAGACCCCCAUUAGUAACUAUAAAUCUGCUGUGUCUCUAUGGUUCAUUUGUUUCUGCAGGCAGAGUGGACCGUGCUGUGUCAUACACUGAUGUCACCAUCGCAGAGGAGAGGAAACCUCAAAGAAUCACUGGUGAGGGGCAUUAAAAAUGUUGAUCUGUGCCAAAUGGUUAAUGGACCUGA